rnacentral:rRNA from 1 species
AGUGAACGCUGGCGGUAGGCCUACACAUGCAAGUCGAACGGCAGCACAGGAGAGCUUGCUCUCUGGGUGGCGAGUGGCGGACGGGUGAGGAAUACAUCGGAAUCUACUCUGUCGUGGGGGAUAACGUAGGGAAGCUUACGCUAAUACCGCAUACGACCUACGGGUGAAAGCAGGGGACCUUCGGGCCUUGCGCGAUUGAAUGAGCCGAUGUCGGAUUAGCUAGUUGGCGGGGUGAAGGCCCACCAAGGCGACGAUCCGUAGCUGGUCUGAGAGGACGAUCAGCCACACUGGAACUGAGACACGGUCCAGACUCCUACGGGAGGCAGCAGUGGGGAAUAUUGGACAAUGGGCGCAGGCCUGAUCCAGCCAUACCGCGUGGGUGAAGAAGGCCUUCGGGUUGUAAAGCCCUUUUGUUGGGAAAGAAAUCCAGCUGGCUAAUACCCGGUUGGGAUGACGGUACCCAAAGAAUAAGCACCGGCUAACUUCGUGCCAGCCGCCGCCGUAA